CAUAGGUUUGGUCCCAGCCUUCCUGUUAACUCUUAAUAAACUUACACAUGCAAGCAUCUACACCCCAGUGAGAAUGCCCUCUAGGUUAUUAAAACUAAGAGGAGCUGGCAUCAAGCACACACCCUGUAGCUCACGACGCCUUGCUUAACCACACCCCCACGGGAAACAGCAGUGACAAAAAUUAAGCCAUAAACGAAAGUUUGAC
rnacentral:rRNA from 1 species